rnacentral:rRNA from 1 species
CCUACGGGUGGCAGCAGUGAGGAAUAUUGCACAAUGGGCGAAACCCUGAUGCAGCGACGCCGCGUGAGCGAUGACGUAUUUCGGUGUGUAAAGCUCUAUCAGCAGGGAAGAAGAUGACGGUACCUGACUAAGAAGCCCCGGCUAACUACGUGCCAGCAGCCGCUGUAAUGCGGAGGGGGCAAGCGUUAUCCGGAUUUACUGGGUGUAAAGGGAGCGUAGACGGCGAUGCAAGCCAGAUGUGAAAGCCCGGGGCUCAACCCCGGGACUGCAUUUGGAACUGUGUGGCUAGAGUGUCGGAGAGGUAGGCGGAAUUCGUAGUGUAGCGGUGAAAUGCGUAGAUAUUAGGAGGAACACCAGUGGCGAAGGCGGCCUGCUGGAGGAUGACUGACGCUGAGGCUCGAAAGCGUGGGGAGCAAACAGGAUUAGAUACCCGUGUAGUC